rnacentral:rRNA from 1 species
UGCGAGUCAUUGUAGCAAUGCAAGGCAGACGGCCCAAUAACGCGUAGUCAAUCUACCCUAUGGACGGGAAUAACCUCGGGAAACUGAGAAUAAUGCCCGACAGAACAUUAUACCUGGAACGGUUUAUGUUUCAAAUGAUUUAUCGCCGUAGGAUGGGACUGCGGCCUAUCAGUUUGUUGGUGAGGUAAUGGCCCACCAAGACUAUUACAGGUACGGGCUCUGAGAGGAGUAGCCCGGAGAUGGGUACUGAGACACGGACCCAGGCCCUAUGGGGCGCAGCAGGCGAGAAAACUUUGCAAUGUGCGAAAGCACGACAAGGUUAAUCCGAGUGGUUUCUGCUAAAGAAACCUUUUGCUAGUCCUAGAAACACUAGUGAAUAAGGGGUGGGCAAGUUCUGGUGUCAGCCGCCGCGGUAAAACCAGCACCUCAAGUGGUCAGGAUGAUUAUUGGGCCUAAAGCAUCCGUAGCUCGUUUUGUAAGUUUUCGGUUAAAUCCAUACGCUUAACGUAUGGGCUGCCGGGAAUACUGCAUAACUAGGAAGUGGGAGAGGUAGACGGUACUCGGUAGGAAGGGGUAAAAUCCUUUGAUCUAUUGAUGACCACCUGUGGCGAAGGCGGUCUACCAGAACACGUUCGACGGUGAGGGAUGAAAGCUGGGGGAGCAAACCGGAUUAGAUACCCGGGUAGUCCCAGCUGUAAACUAUGCAAACUCAGUGAUGCAUUGGCUUGUGGCCAAUGCAGUGCUGCAGGGAAGCCGUUAAGUUUGCCGCCUGGGAAGUACGUACGCAAGUAUGAAACUUAAAGGAAUUGGCGGGGGAGCACCACAAGGGGUGAAGCCUGCGGU